rnacentral:rRNA from 1 species
UAGUCCACGCCGUAAACGAUGGUAACUAGGUGUGUGCGACAUAAAGUGCGCGCCCAAGCGAAAGUGAUAAGUUACCCACCUGGGGAGUACGCUCGCAAGAAUGAAACUCAAAGGAAUUGACGGGGGCCCGCACAAGCGGUGGAGCAUGUGGUUUAAUUCGAUGAUACGCGAGGAACCUUACCAGGGCUUAAAUGUAGUCUGACAGCUUUAGAGAUAGAGUUUUCUUCGGACAGAUUACAAGGUGCUGCAUGGUUGUCGUCAGCUCGUGCCGUGAGGUGUCAGGUUAAGUCCUAUAACGAGCGCAACCCCUGUUGUUAGUUGCCAGCGAGUAAUGUCGGGAACUCUAGCAAGACUGCCGGUGCAAACCGCGAGGAAGGUGGGGAUGACGUCAAAUCAUCACGGCCCUCACGUCCUGGGCCACACACGUGCUACAAUGGUAGGUACAGAGAGCAGCCACGUCGCGAGGCGGAGCGAAUCUAUAAAACCUAUCUCAGUUCGGAUCGGG